AACAUCAUUUUAUUUCUAUUAAACCCAAAAAUACCCUUAUUAGACCUAAUAAAAAUCAACCUUUCCUUCUCUUUUUUAAUUUCUCUAUUUCUCUCUCUCUCCCUCUCUUAUCCGCCGCCACCAUCGUCUUUCUCAAUUUUUUCAAUUUUCCAUCAUCCCCACCAUAGCCUUCUUUCUCCCUUUCUUCAUUGACCCAGCACUUCCUCUCUCUUUCUCUCUAUCUCUCUCUUUCUCUAUUUUCAUUAACUUGGAGGUAUUAGUUGCAGGAGUUUUUUAGAUCGGAUCUUUGUGUGGGCGCGGCAGGCGGCGGUGGUUUUGGUCGCUAGGGACGGCGAGCAGCCGUGGUUUUGGUUGCUGGCGGGCGGCGGUGGUUUCGAUCGCGGCAGGCGGCGAGCGGUGGUGGUUUUGGUUGUUGGGGGCGGCGGUGGUUUUGGUCGUUCGGGGCGACAACGGUUUUCGUUGAUGGGGCAGAGCGAUGGUGGUUUUGGUCGGUGGGGGCGGCAACGGUUUUGGUCGAUGGUGUCGGUGGUGGUUUUCUUCGAUGACGACAGUAAUUUUUUUGUUAGAAUUUGAUGUUGGGUUUGGAGAAGGGAAAGGCUAAUUAAGAUCGAAAGUGAAACAUAGAUGAAGAGGACGGAGGUGGAGGUGGUGGUGGUGGCGGAUCUAGAGUUUCAUAUUGGAUGAGUGCCAAUGACUACGGGUGUUUAUGAAUUACUAUGAGUGUAUACGAAUGGGUAGCGACUAGGGUUCAAAACGAGAGUAUGUGACUACGGAUUACUAUGGUUCCUAUAGGUGUCUAUAGUCGACUACGACCUAUUUUGUUUUUUAAACAUUCACAAUUUUCAAUAUCGUAAAUUAUAGUAUACCAUAGUACACCAUAGUAUUUUAAAAUCUGCUGUUUUAUUUAACAAAAACGAGAAAAAAAAAACGUAAUUUUCAGUAAAACAUAAAAAAUAGAUUAAAAAAUAAACUUGCUUAUAAUAAUGUAAAAAAAUGCUAGAGUGAAAAACG
rnacentral:lncRNA from 1 species